GACGAACGCUGGCGGCGUGCUUAAUACAUGCAAGUCAACUUGACUUUAGAUAGCAAUAUCGAAAAGUAGGGUGGCGCACGGGUGCGUAACGCGUAGGUAAUCUGCCCUGAGGUCUGACAUAACCCGUCGAAAGGCGGGCUAACAUCAGAUGAUAUAUAAUCACGACAUCGUGGAAAUAUCAAAUCUUCGGAGCCUUGGGAUGAGCCUGCGUCUGAUUAGGUAGUUGGCGGAGUAAUAGCCCACAAGCCUACGAUCAGUAGCUGGUCUGAGAGGAUGAUCAGCCACACUGGAACUGAGACACGGUCCAGACUCCUACGGGAGGCAGCAGUAAGGAUAUUGCUCAAUGGGGAAACCCUGAAGCAGCAACGCCGCGUGAAGGAUAGAAAUUAC
rnacentral:rRNA from 1 species